rfam:Candidatus Melainabacteria bacterium GWF2_37_15 gwf2_scaffold_9761, whole genome shotgun sequence.
GCGCCAUUAGCUCAGCCGGUAGAGCAAUCCCCUUUUAAGGGAGAGGUCCCGCGUUCGAAUCGCGGAUGGCGCA